UACGGAGGGGGCGAGCGUUAUUCGGAAUUAUUGGGCGUAAAGGGCGCGUAGGCGGCUGUACAAGUCAAAGGUGAAAUCCCUCGGCUCAACUGAGGAACUGCCUUUGAAACUGUACGGCUUGAGGCCGGGAGGGGGUAGCGGAAUUCCCAAUGUAGCGGUGAAAUGCGUAGAUAUUGGGAGGAACACCAGUGGCGAAGGCGGCUACCUGGACCGGUUCUGACGCUGAUGCGCGAAAGCGUGGGGAGCAAACAGG
rnacentral:rRNA from 1 species